rnacentral:rRNA from 1 species
AACGUAGGACGCAAGCGUUAUCCGGAGUUACUGGGCGUAAAGCGCGGGCAGGCGGCUCGAUGCGUCUGAUGUGAAAUCUCCUCGCUCAACGGGGAGAGGCCAUUGGAAACAGUCGGGCUGGAGGGCAGUAGAGGCAGGCGGAAUUCCGGGUGGAGUGGUGAAAUGCGUAGAGAUCCGGAGGAACACCAGAGGCGAAGGCGGCCUGCUGGGCUGCACCUGACGCUGAACCGCGAAAGCCAGGGGAGCGAACGGG